rnacentral:rRNA from 1 species
AGCCCAGACUCCUACGGGAGGCAGCAGUGAGGAAUAUUGGUCAAUGGGCGCGAGCCUGAACCAGCCAAGUCGCGUGAGGGAUGACGGCCCUACGGGUUGUAAACCUCUUUUGUCGGGGAGCAAAUUCCGCCACGUGUGGCGGAGUCGAGAGUACCCGAAGAAAAAGCAUCGGCUAACUCCGUGCCAGCAGCCGCGGUAAUACGGAGGAUGCGAGCGUUAUCCGGAUUUAUUGGGUUUAAAGGGUGCGUAGGCGGACUGUAAAGUCAGCGGUAAAAUCGCGGGGCUCAACCUCGCUCCGCCGUUGAAACUGGCGUUCUUGAGUGGGCGAGAAGUAUGCGGAAUGCGUGGUGUAGCGGUGAAAUGCAUAGAUAUCACGCAGAACUCCGAUUGCGAAGGCAGCCUUCCGGCGCCCUACUGACGCUGAGGCACGAAAGUGCGGGGAUCGAACAGGAUUAGAUACCCCGGUA